rnacentral:lncRNA from 10 species
CAUUAUUGAACAAACACCUCUAAGUCACCUUUUGCUGGAGGAAGCUUGGUCCUUACAGGAGGGCCUUAGAUUGGGCCCUGAUAAGGCAGCACAUCCUGUCUGCCUCCCUGUCCACACCCUCACAGCUGAGCCUGCUGCGGUUGCUGCUGACUUCAAAGGCACUGCUUCCCUUGGAUCCACAUCAAGGACUGGAAUGAGAAAAGGGUCCCCUGACCUUCUUAUAUCUCUUCAAUUCUGCCCAAGAGAUUUGGCCUGAAAAGAUUGUGCCUUCAACCUCAUCCUGGAAAUUCAGUAUCAAGCAUUUCUGGUGCAUCCUGAAGUAUGAUGGUCAUCUGGAGGAAAAGCACUUGUGUGAGUGUCCUGAGUUGUGAUCUGCACUAGUCACUUUCAUGGAACACAAUGUUUACUCAAAAGGACCAAAUAACCAUAGUUAUUCAGAUUUGGUUAUUUGACAGGCAUUUUCUCAAAAAUGAACAAACUGAGCUCAUCACUUCAAGAAAGACAAUAAUUAACAGUAUUUUCUGCCAAAAUAGAAGUAUAAAGCAAAAAUUAGAAUUUUUAGAAACCUGUAUCUGCCAUAGUGAACUUAACACCUUCCCAACACUUACAGAGGUUUUUGAUGAGAUCAGUGAUAUUAACAAAUAAGAACUUUUAGUUUUCAUCAAGAAAUAUAUCAAAUUUGAAAAAUCUGCAUGACUUAGUGAAGCAAUAUUUUCCAAAUGACCCAUGCAUAUUAUUUCAAAAUCAUGCAUGAGCAAAAGAUCUAUUCAGAGUACAAGCCAGAUAACUGAAUUUUAACAUAACUGAGCACAAAAAGUUCAUUGAUAUAGUUUCAGAUUCCACAUUGCAACUAACCUUAGUAAUCUACUAUUGGUUGAGUUUUGGUAUAAUGUCAAAGAAGAAUAUUCACAAUUAUCUGAAAAGACUAUUAAAAUAUUCCUCCCUUUUCCAACAAAAUAACUACGUGAGGCUGGGUUUCCUUCGCAUACUUUAUCCAAAACAACAUUAUCACAGCUGAUUGAAUGCAGAAGCCGAUAUGAGAAUCCAGCUGUCUUCUAUUAAGCCGGACAGUCAAGAGAUUUGCAAAAAUGUAAAACACUGUCACUCUUCUCACUUGGAUUUUUUAAAAAAGUUAUUUUUAUAAUAAAAUGUUAUUUUUAACGUUUAAAUGGAUUAAUGAAUAUAUGCAUUUUAAUAAAUUACUAAAUGUUAAUUUAUUCAUUAACAAUGAAUAAAUAUUAAAUGAACAAAUAUUAUUUUUGGUUUUAGUUUUUAAUAUGGUAAAUUAUUUAAUUAUCUAUUGCUGUAUAGCAAAGUAUCCUAAAACCUAGUGGCUUAAAACAACAAUAAUCACUUGAGUUGCCAGCCUAAAGAAAUGGGUCCAGCUUCCGGGCAGGGCGUGGUGGCUCACGCCCGUAAUCCUAGCACUUUGGGAGGCCGAGGUGGGCGGACCACAAGGUCAGGAGAUCGAGACCAUCCUGGCUAACAUGGUGAAACCCCGUCUCUACUAAAAAUACAAAAAAUUACCCGGGCAUGGUGGUGGGUGCCUGUGGUCCCAGCUACUCGGGAGGCUGAGGCAGGAGAAUGGCAUGAACCUGGGAGGCAGAGCUUGCAGUGAGCCGAGAUCAUGCCACUGCACUCCAGCACUCCAGCCUGGGCGACAGAGUGAGACUCUGUCUCAAAAAAAAAAAAAAAAAGAAAAGAAAAGAAAGAAAGAAAGAAAGAAAUUGGUUCACCUGGGUGGCUCAUACCUGUAAUCCCAUCACUUUGGGAGGCUGAGGUGAGAUGAUCAUUUGAGGCCAGGAGUUUAAAACAAGCCUGGGCAACAUAGCGAGACCCCAUCUCUAAAAGAAAAAAAAAAAAGCCAGGAAUGGUGGUGCACACCUGUAGUCCUAGCAACUUGAGAGACUGAGGCUGAAAGAUCACUUAAUCCCAGGAGGUUGAGGCUACAGUGAAUUGUGAUUGCACCACUGCACUCCAGCCUGGAUGACAGAGGGAGACCCUAUCUCUCUAAAAAAAAAAAAAAAAAAAAGAAGAAGAAGAAGAAAGGAAGAAAAGAAAUUAUUGGUCCAUAUGUCUGAAAUGUCUUUGCUGUCUAUCUUUGUCCCGUUGCUCAUAGUUAGACCAUCAUUUAGGCAACUUCUUGCUCACUUACCCUCCACAAGCUUGGACACAGGUCCUUCUAGCUCUGUUUCUUCUGAACUUGAGAUUACUGGAGACUCCCUUAUGAGUUUUAACACUCCCCAUAACCUUUGUAUGAUUUGUACAUAGAAAAUACCCCCAAAAUUAAAAAUAAAUUAUUAAACUAAAGGAAAGGUUAGUAAGAUUGCUGGACAUAAAAUUAAUAUUUGAAAAUAAAUUAUAUUCCAAUAAGAUACACAAAUGGCCAACAAGCACAUAAGAAAUAUCUUUAGUAUCACCUGCUCUCUGCAGCUCCCAGGCACACCUCCCCAGGAGCAGAGGUUUUCUGGGCUAGGUCAGGCCCUCCCAUUACCUGCUUUGUAGAAGACAGGGAAGAAAAUCACUCACUGUAUGUAAUUUUAUUUAAGAGAGUGCAAGAAUGUCGUGUUUGAGCCUUUCACUCUUUUUUCUUUGUAUUUCUUAUCGGAAAUGAAAGAAAACAGCCAGUGAGAUAGGAUCUCAGGUCUAGAAUUCCUAGCAGGUAAUUUGGGAGUUGAAAACAAAUCUCCCCUGAAAUGCAUUAAGCAGGUGAAGGGGAUUCCAGUUUCAACUCUGAAACCACACCUUAUCCUGGCCUGGCAAAUAACUUCCUUCCAGCCCCAGGCAAAUCCCAACUUCCACCCGCCAAAUGCCUGCAGUUAAUAAACGUUUAAGCAACAACAAAAACCCCAAGUGGAAAAUGGAAGACUGAUUCGAGGCUGAGAUACUAGAAGGGCUGCCUGGGAGCCCCUCUCUGAGAGCCGCGCCCACAGGAGGAACUUUUAGCCAGGGAAGCCGGGGCCUGGAGCUGGGGAACCCAAGGCAUGAUGUCUUUCAGAGCGUCAGAGCAGGGUAAAUAUCUGAUUUGAGUCAAAUGAUUAUUUUUCUUGAUCAGAUUUGUCCACUUGUUUCAUUGGAACUCCAUACCACUAGCCAUGGUCAAACCCUUCAAAAUGGCCAAAAUCUCCAGACUGCAUUAUUGGGCCACAGUAGGUCCUGCUUCCUGCUAAGUGCUGCAAGACUGGAGUUUCCAAGCUCUGGUCUAGAUAGGUCAGCUGAGGGUUGGUAAGGAAGUUCUCAUGGGUCCAGAGAGAACUAAGAAAAAAAGGAUCAUGUUAUGCUGUGGAAAUGUGCUCCGCGGUAAUUUUUAUUCCCAUUUUACAUAUCAGAAAACAGAGGCUCAGAGACGUUGAAUGACUUGCCACAUAGCUAGUCAGUAGCAGAGCGAGGAUGGAGAUUCACAUGAUCAAUCACAGUGACCACCGUUUGCUGAGCACCUGUAGUGAGACAGGCAAACACCUUGUGCUUUGUGUGUGUUAACUUGUUCAGUUCUCGUGGAUUGCUUCCUUUUUAAAGAAAUGAAACUGUUCAACAGAGCUUCCUGCCAUAAGGGAAAUCUUCUACAUCUCACGUCCAAUAGAUAGCCACAAGCCCCAUGUUGCUAUUCAGCCCUUGAAAUGUGGUAAGUGAAACUGAGGAACAAAAUUUUAAAAUUUUAUUUCACUUAAAUUGAUUUAAAUGUGAACAGCCACAUGUGGCUGGCAGCUCUGGGAGGUUCAGUAGCUUUUCCAAAAGCCAGCGAAGUGAUGAGGUGAGGGUUGUGUUGUGGGGCUGAUUGAGCCCCAAAUCCAUGUGUUUCCCCCUUUCUCUCUGCUCCCCUGUGAGGUGGCCUGCCUUUUCCAAAGUAAAAGACACUGGGAAGGAAACUGACCAGACAGUAUACAGUCAGCCAAAAAUAAAGCCAGACCCCAAAGGUGGGGUCUGUAUUUGAGUCUGCUUCUUCCGAAUGUGUCUGGAAGCCCCCAUGGGUGGCCAAACAGCCCAGCUGGGGGCUUCAGACCCUGCACCAGUAACUUCCCAGAGCCCACCAUGGCCCAUUUGGCUGGGGCUUAUAUGACUCACAGGUUCCAACCCUACAAUUUAAACUGCAGCAUUUCCUUUUUCUGGGCUUAACACUAAUUGGUAGAGGUAGUGAGCUCCCAGGCCCAGCCUCACCCUGUCGAAACAUGUAGCUCUCAACAGUUCCCACUGGAAGCACCACCCAUGAGGUGCAGCUACCAUUGCCAUGUGUCUGAAUGCCAGUGUUUAACCCAAGCUGGCCCAUUGUUGUUCCAUGAGCCUCUCUAUAGCCUCUGAAUGUUCAUCUUU